GCAGUCGUGGCGUCCGGCACUCGAAAUCCAUUGGGGUCUCCCCGCACAGGUUCGAAUCCUGUCGACUGCG
rfam:Ixodes scapularis strain Wikel colony gcontig_1108378334880, whole genome shotgun sequence.